ACGAACGCUGGCGGCAUGCCUAACACAUGCAAGUCGAACGAGACCUUCGGGUCUAGUGGCGCACGGGUGCGUAACGCGUGGGAACCUGCCCUUAGGUUCGGAAUAACUCCCCGAAAGGGGUGCUAAUACCGGAUAAUGUCUUCGGACCAAAGAUUUAUCGCCUUUGGAUGGGCCCGCGUUGGAUUAGCUAGUUGGUAGGGUAAAAACCUACCAAGGCGACGAUCCAUAGCUGGUCUGAGAGGAUGAUCAGCCACACUGGGACUGAGACACGGCCCAGACUCCUACGGGAGGCAGCAGUGGGGAAUAUUGGACAAUGGGCGAAAGCCUGAUCCAGCAAUGCCGCGUGAGUGAUGAAGGCCUUAGGGUUGUAAAGCUCUUUUACCCGGGAUGAUAAUGACAGUACCGGGAGAAUAAGCUCCGGCUAACUCCGUG
rnacentral:rRNA from 1 species